CCUACGGGUGGCUGCAGUAGGGAAUCUUCCACAAUGGACGAAAGUCUGAUGGAGCAACGCCGCGUGAGUGAAGAAUGGUUUCGGCUCGGAAAGCUCUGUUGGUAGUGAAGAAAGAUGGAGGUAGUAACUGGCCUUGAUUUGACGGUAAUUACUUAGAAAGUCACGGCUAACUACGUGCCAACCGCCGCGGUAGUACGUAGGUGGCAAGCGUUGUCCGGAUUUAUUGGGCGUAAAGGGAGUGCAGGUGGUUUGAUAAGUCUGAUGUGAAAGCCUUCGGCUCAACCGGAGAAUUGCAUCAGAAACUGUUGAACUUGAGUGCAGAAGAGGUGAGCGGAACUCGAUGUGUAGCGGUGGAAUGCUUAGAUAUAAGGAAGAACACCAGUGGCGAAGGCGGCUUUCUAGUCUGCAACUGACGCUGAGGCUCGAAAGCAUGGGUAGCGAACAGGAUUAGAUACCCGAGUAGUC
rnacentral:rRNA from 1 species